rnacentral:ncRNA from 2 species
ACUACAUAAUAGGAGUCAGGUAAAGCUGCGUCAAGCUUUUAAAAGGGCAAGCUGGUGAAAAGUCCAGCGCGGUCCCGCCACUGUAAGUGAAACCUCUUGUGUUUCAUAAGCCAGAAAACCUGCCUGAUUCGUAUCACCGGU